UUUAAUCCCAGCACCCUGGUGACAGAA
rnacentral:piRNA from 3 species